UUGCCGAUGAUGGUUAUGAAUUUCUUCACCUGAAUAAGUCAUGUGGUCAUACUGUGUCUGAGGCAAA
rnacentral:snoRNA from 1 species